rnacentral:rRNA from 1 species
UACGUAGGUGGCGAGCGUUGUCCGGAUUUAUUGGGCGUAAAGCGCGCGCAGGUGGUGCGGUAAGUCUGUCGUGAAAUCUCCUGGCUCAACUGGGAGGGUGCGGUGGAGACUGCCGGACUGGAGGCACUCAGAGGCCGGUGGAAUUCCCGGUGUAGAGGUGAAAUUCGUAGAUAUUCGGAAGAACACCAGUGGCGAAGGCGGCCAACUGGUCCGGCACUGACGCUGAGGUGCGAAAGCGUGGGGAGCAAACAGG